rnacentral:rRNA from 1 species
UACGAAGGGGGCGAGCGUUAUUCGGAAUCACUGGGCGUAAAGCGUGCGUAGGCUGUUCUGCAAGUCAGGAAUGAAAGCCCAAAGGCUCAACCUUGGAAGCGCUUUUGAAAACUGCAGGACUAGAAUUUGGGAGAGGAUAGCGGAAUUGUCAGUGUAGCAGUGAAAUGCGUAGAUAUUGACAGGAACACCAGUGGCGCAAGCGGCUAUCUGGACCAACAUUGACGCUGAGGCACGAAAGCGUGGGGGAGCAAACAGG